rnacentral:antisense_RNA from 1 species
GACAUGCUGGGCACCCCCAGCCAGUCGAGGCCCCGGGUGGCCGCCCGACGAGUCGGUGCUGGACUGGCGCGAGUGCGAGCCCGAAUCAGGCUCCUUAAAGAAAGACUCCGGCAGGAUCUUCUUCCGCCACGAGCUAGGCUUCGGAUUCAUGACAGAGUUGAAGAGGGCUUCGAGGUCUGUGUCUAGGUCCUGCGUGACGUGGAUCACUUGCUGCCCAGGCGGCGGGAGCGGAGGGGGCGCCGAGGCCGGAUUCAUCUUCUGCAAAAAGAAGGAUGGCAAAGGAAAGGUCGCACGUUUCCAGGACAGGCAGCCCCCCGAAAGAAGUUCAGCCCGAGCCAACUCCACCACGUCUCGACUCCGGAAGCCCGAGGAGCCUGGAGCCCUGGAGUUGUGCCGGAUGAGCGCGCGAGCUCCAGCGGGCACUACCUGGGCGGGCAGCGAAGCUGAGCCUGAGCGCGCGGCGGCCGC